CACCCUCUAAUUUAAUUUUGUAUCUUGCCAUAUGAAUGCAGUUUUAGUGAAUAACAUAUAUGAGAUAGAGAUGUCACACGAAAGAGGGAAUCUUUAUGAUAAAGGAAAAAGAGGUAUGUCUAUGCCCAUCACAUGUCUGCAUAUAAGGUAUACAGUGUUCUUUCACAAGUUAUCCUACAUUAAUUCUUGGAAAGUUGUUGAAUAUGAGAGGACACCGAGGC
rnacentral:lncRNA from 1 species